GAUGAACGCUGGCGGCGUGCCUAAUACAUGCAAGUCGAGCGAACAGACGAGGAGCUUGCUCCUCUGACGUUAGCGGCGGACGGGUGAGUAACACGUGGAUAACCUACCUAUAAGACUGGGAUAACUUCGGGAAACAGGAUCUAAUACCGCAUAAUAUAUUGAACCGCAUGGUUCAAUAGUGAAAGACGGUUUUGCUGUCACUUAUAGAUGGAUCCGCGCCGCAUUAGCUAGUUGGUAAGGUAACGGCUUACCAAGGCAACGAUGCGUAGCCGACCUGAGAGGGUGAUCGGCCACACUGGAACUGAGACACGGUCCAGACUCCUACGGGAGGCAGCAGUAGGGAAUAUUCCGCAAUGGGCGAAAGCCUGACGGAGCAACGCCGCGUGAGUGAUGAAGGUCUUCGGAUCGUAAAACUCUGUUAUUAGGGAAGAACAAAUGUGUAAGUAACUAUGCACGUCUUGACGGUACCUAAUCAGAAAGCAACGGCUAACUACGUG
rnacentral:rRNA from 1 species